AGCGAACGCUGGCGGCAGGCCUAACACAUGCAAGUCGAACGAACUCUUCGGAGUUAGUGGCGGACGGGUGAGUAACACGUGGGAACGUGCCUUUAGGUUCGGAAUAACUCAGGGAAACUUGUGCUAAUACUGAAUGUGCCCUUCGGGGGAAAGAUUUAUCGCCUUUAGAGCGGCCCGCGUCUGAUUAGCUAGUUGGUGAGGUAAAGGCUCACCAAGGCGACGAUCAGUAGCUGGUCUGAGAGGAUGAUCAGCCACAUUGGGACUGAGACACGGCCCAAACUCCUACGGGAGGCAGCAGUGGGGAAUCUUGCGCAAUGGGCGAAAGCCUGACGCAGCCAUGCCGCGUGAAUGAUGAAGGUCUUAGGAUUGUAAAAUUCUUUCACCGGGGACGAUAAUGACGGUACCCGGAGAAGAAGCCCCGGCUAACUUCGUG
rnacentral:rRNA from 1 species